GACAGCAGCAGCCGCGGGAAAACAGAGGGUGCGAGCGUUAAUCGGAUUUACUGGGCGUAAAGCGUGCGUAGGCGGCUUUUUAAGUCGGAUGUGAAAUCCCUGAGCUUAACUUAGGAAUUGCAUUCGAUACUGGGAAGCUAGAGUAUGGGAGAGGAUGGUAGAAUUCCAGGUGUAGCGGUGAAAUGCGUAGAGAUCUGGAGGAAUACCGAUGGCGAAGGCAGCCAUCUGGCCUAAUACUGACGCUGAGGUACGAAAGCAUGGGGAGCAAACAGGAUUAGAUACCCGAGUAGUCCCUGUCUCUUAUAA
rnacentral:rRNA from 1 species